rnacentral:rRNA from 1 species
GGGCCCGCACAAGCGGUGGAGCAUGUGGCUUAAUUCGAGGCAACGCGAAGAACCUUACCUGGUCUUGACAUGCCCGUCAUAGUUUUCCGAAAGGAAUUCGUCAGUUAGGCUGGACGGUGCACAGGUGCUGCAUGGCUGUCGUCAGCUCGUGUCGUGAGAUGUUCGGUUAAGUCCGGCAACGAGCGCAACCCUCGUUCCUAGUUGCCAGCGGGUAAUGCCGGGGACUCUGGAAAGACAAACCUCUUGUUGAGGUGGGAAGGUGGGGACGACGUCAAGUCAGUAUGGCCCUUACGACCAGGGCUGCACACGUGCUACAAUGCCCGGUACAAUGGGAUGCAAUAUCGCGAGAUUGAGCAAAUCCACAAAGCCGGGCCCAGUUCGGAUUGGAGUCUGCAACUCGACUCCAUGAAGUUGGAAUCGCUAGUAAUGGC